ACGGGAGGCAGCAGUGGGGAAUAUUGCACAAUGGGCGAAAGCCUGAUGCAGCGACGCCGCGUGAAGGAUGAAGUAUUUCGGUAUGUAAACUUCUAUCAGCAGGGAAGAAAAUGACGGUACCUGACUAAGAAGCCCCGGCUAACUACGUGCCAGCAGCCGCGGUAAUACGUAGGGGGCAAGCGUUAUCCGGAUUUACUGGGUGUAAAGGGAGCGUAGACGGCAUGGCAAGUCUGAUGUGAAAACCCGGGGCUCAACCCCGGGACUGCAUUGGAAACUGUCAGGCUAGAGUGCAGGAGAGGUAAGUGGAAUUCCUAGUGUAGCGGUGAAAUGCGUAGAUAUUAGGAGGAACACCAGUGGCGAAGGCGGCUUACUGGACUGUAACUGACGUUGAGGCUCGAAAGCGUGGGGAGCAAACAGGAUUAGAUACCCUGGUA
rnacentral:rRNA from 1 species